UAUUGACAGAAAGACGUGAUUUUAUUAAUCAGACAAAUCGCCAUACAAAGCCGUAGUUAGGAAGCUUCGCAGAGCGUUCCAAAUACAUUGACUAGCAUAAUAUAAAGGGGCUCUUGCACGGCGAUGAGCUACUUCAUUAUCUCGUCUUCGAAUCCAUUGAAGAGACAUUUCAGAUUUGUUACCACGAAAACGUGACGAACAAAUUACAUUGUUUAAUAUUGGGCUAAAAAGUUUUUACUUGGUACCUUUUGAAGGUAUUUUAGAUGCAGAAACUAGUGGACUGCGCUAAAUGGUAAAUGCGCUUCAUAACAUCACCAGAGAGGAUGUGAGAGAGGGAAGGUAAAUACAAAUUAAACUAGAGAUUUCAAGAAUAAUUAUCCAUCAUUCGUCCUGAUAUCCAAUUUACUAAUAUGUUACGACCUUUGGGCAACUAUACAGGGGCCAUUCUGCCCUCUAAAUGCACUGACCACUAAGAGUAAAUCUCCUGCGCUUGACGAAUGUUAAAAACUUUAUCAUCGGCCUGUGAGCUUCACCAUCCAUGCACCACCCAAAUAA
rnacentral:misc_RNA from 1 species